UGCGUAGGCGGUCUUAUAAGUCAGUGCUGAAAUAUCCCGGCUUAACCGGGAGGGUGGCAUUGAUACUGUAGGACUUGAGUAAAGUUGAGGUUGGCGGAAUUGACGGUGUAGCGGUGAAAUGCUUAGAUAUCGUCAAGAACACCUAUAGCGAAGGCAGCUAACUAAGCUUUAACUGACGCUGAGGCACGAAAGUGUGGGGAUCAAACAGGAUUAGAUACCCUGGUAGUCC
rnacentral:rRNA from 1 species